rnacentral:lncRNA from 1 species
UUUCUUAGCUGUUUUAAAAAAAAAGGGGAGAAUUCUCCCUUUCUCUCUGGGACAAUUCCAGAAUCCGGCCAGAAGGGCCGCCACGCGCCACCGCCGGCGCCGGCGCCGGCGCCGGCCACCGUUCACGGUAGCCGGAAAAGGUAAAGUUUCUUCUUCUUUUUUCUUUUUUUUUUAUAUAUUAUCUUAUAUAUUUUAUGUGUUUAUAAUAUAUAUAUGCAAAUAGGAGAUUCGAAAAAUGAAAAAAAAGAAAUAAACCGAAAAUGUAUAGAAUGAAAUCACAUUUGUUUUCUAGAUGUCUGAUUCUUGGUAUUUGUUUUCCAAUUUAGUGUUUUUCUCUUGAUUGGCUAUUUUGUGCUUUUGACUCACUGAUUUUUGUUUGUGUUUUAAAAUCAAAUGCUGUUUUUUUUAUUUCUCUCCAAUGCCGAAAAACAAAUGAUUUUGGGAGUGGCCUUUUAUAGGCAAUUUCCCUUACAACUUGCUUCUUAAUAACUUGUUCUGUAUUUCUUGCAGGAAAAUGGGCAGUGGAUGUGACAAGGGCGGUGCUGCAGGCGUCGGUUGGGGUUAGGUGAUUUAGGGUUUCAAAUUUUGAAAUCUUAAAUUUACUAGUUGGGUCAGUUUAGGGUUAUUUGUGCUGUAAUGGGUUUAGUGGGUUUAGUGAGUUUAAUGGGUUGGCUUUAAUUUGUUUGGGGCUUGGGGUAUUUUGGGAUUAAUUGGGCUAGGCGGAUUUGGUUUAAUUUGGGCCUACAAACUGGGCUUGUACAAAUAUCUUAAAGUUUGGGAAGAAAUAUAAAAAUGUAUGCAUAUAUGUAUGUAUAAGUGAAUAACAUAUCAUGUGAGUGAGGAAUAAAAAGAAAAUGAGUGUAGUUAAAGA